CAUGAACGCUGGCGGCGUGCUUAACACAUGCAAGUCGAACGAAGCACUUUGGACGGAUUCUUCGGAUGAAGUCCUUAGUGACUGAGUGGCGGACGGGUGAGUAACGCGUGGGUAACCUGCCUCAUACAGGGGGAUAACAGUUAGAAAUGGCUGCUAAUACCGCAUAAGCGCACAGUACUGCAUGGUACAGCGUGAAAAACUCCGGUGGUAUGAGAUGGACCCGCGUUGGAUUAGCUAGUUGGCAGGGUAACGGCCUACCAAGGCGACGAUCCAGAGCCGGGCUGGGAGGGUGGACGGCCACAUUGGGACUGAGACACGGCCCAGACUCCUACGGGAGGCAGCAGCGGGGAAUAUUGCACAAUGGGGGAAACCCUGAUGCAGCGACGCCGCGUGAGCGAAGAAGUAUUUCGGUAUGUAAAGCUCUAUCAGCAGGGAAGAAAAUGACGGUACCUGACUAAGAAGCCCUGGCUAACUACGUGCCAGCAGCCGCCGUAAAAC
rnacentral:rRNA from 1 species